rnacentral:rRNA from 1 species
ACCAACCCUAGCCCGACUCUCCCCAAAUAAAAUUAUCACAGCCAAUUAAAUCAAAACAUUUAUUUACUUACCAGAAGUAUAGGAGAUAGAAACUGAAAUCAGGCGCUAUAGAGAUAGUACCGCAAGGGAAAGAUGAAAGAUGAAGUCACAGUACAAAACAGCAAAGAUUACCCCUUCUACCUUUUGCAUAAUGAGUUAACUAGAAUGAUCUGACAAAGCGAACUGUAGCCAGAAGCCCCGAAAUCGGACGAGCUACCUGCGAGCAGUCCAAAGAACGAACUCAUCUAUGUGGCAAAAUAGUGAGAAGACUUGCAGGUAGAGGUGAAAAGCCAAUCGAGCCCGAUGAUAGCUGGUUGUCCAGAAUAGAAUUUUAGUUCUACCUAAAAUUUACCGAAGAGAAGCAUUUAAUCCCUAUGUAAAUUUUAGAGGUAUUCAAAAGAGGUACAGCUCUUUUGACAAAGGAUACAACCUUAACUAGAGAGUAAGCAUUUUAUAUCCCAUAGUAGGCCUAGAAGCAGCCACCAAUUAAGAAAGCGUUAAAGCUCAACGUUAUCAACCCUACUAAUACCCUUAAAACCAGCCAACUCCUAGACCUAAUACUGGACUAUUCUAUUAUUCAAUAGAAGAAAUAAUGUUAAUAUAAGUAACAAGAACUAUUUCUCCCCGCAUAAGCUUAUAUCAGAACGGAUGCCCACUGAUAGUUAACAAUUCAAUAAGCCAAAUCCACUAACCAGAACCUUAUUAUAUCUAUUGUUAACCCGACACAGGCAUGCUUGAAGGGAAAGAUUAAAAGAAGAAAAAGGAACUCGGCAAACACAGACCCCGCCUGUUUACCAAAAACAUCACCUCUAGCAUAUCAAGUAUUAGAGGCACUGCCUGCCCAGUGACAUACGUUAAACGGCCGCGGUACUCUGACCGUGCAAAGGUAGCAUAAUCAUUUGUUCCUUAAUUAGGGACUUGUAUGAACGGCCACACGAGGGUCUAACUGUCUCUUUCUUCCAAUCAGUGAAAUUGACCUCCCCGUGAAGAGGCGGGGAUAAACCUAUAAGACGAGAAGACCCUAUGGAGCUUAAAUUAAUUAGUUCAACCACAAAACAUAUACUACGGGGCCACCCAACAGUUUAAUGAACUAACAAUUUUGGUUGGGGUGACCUCGGAGAACAAAAAAACCUCCGAAUGAUACUAUAACCCAGACUUAACCAGUCGAAGUCCAUAAAUCACUUAUUGACCCAAUUAUUGAUCAACGGAACAAGUUACCCUAGGGAUAACAGCGCAAUCCUAUUUUAGAGUCCAUAUCGACAAUAGGGUUUACGACCUCGAUGUUGGAUCAGGACAUCCCAAUGGUGCAGCAGCUAUUAAAGGUUCUUUGGUUCAACGAUUAAAGUCCUACGUGAUCUGAGUUCAGACCGGAGCAAUCCAGGUCGGUUUCUAUCUAUAUACCAUUUCUCCCAGUACGAAAGGACAAGAGAAAUAGAGCCAACUCCCACAUGAAGCGCUCUAAACUUAAUUCUAUGAAUUAAUCUCAAUAUAAACAAGUUGAUUACCCCCGCCCAAGACCAGGGCCU